UGUGAACAUUCCCUAGUAUUUAUGCAAUCCCUCACUGACCUCAUUAGAUAUCACAAGUGAAGCAGGGUUAAGCCUGGAUAGUGGUUGGAUGGGAGGUUACCUAGGAAUACCAGGUACCAUAC
rnacentral:rRNA from 1 species